rnacentral:rRNA from 1 species
CCUACGGGUGGCAGCAGUGAGGAAUAUUGGUCAAUGGGCGCGAGCCUGAACCAGCCAAGUAGCGUGAAGGAAGACGGUCCUAUGGAUUGUAAACCUCUUUUGUCGGGGAGCAAAGUGCGCCACGCGUGCCUUUCCGAGAGUACCCUACGAACAAGCAUCGGCUAACUCCGUGCCAGCAGCCGCGGUAAUACGGAGGAUCCGAGUGUUAUCCGGAUUUAUUGGGUUUAAAGGGGGCGCAGUGGGUUUGUUAAGUCAGCUGUCAAAGCCUGGGGCUCAACCCCAUGCCUGCAGUUGAUACUGGCAGUCUUGAGUGGGAUAGAAGUAGGCGGAAUUCGCGGUGUAGCGGUGAAAUGCAUAGAUAUCGCGAAGAACUCCGAUUGCGAAGGCAGCAUGCCGGACCGACACUGACGCUGAGGCACGAAAGCGUGGGUAUCGAACAGGAUUAGAUACCCGAGUAGUC